UCUCGUGUAGCUCAGUUGGUAGAGCAUGGUGUUUGCAACGCCAGGGUUGUGGGUUCGAUUCCCACGGGGGGAA
rnacentral:tRNA from 1 species